rnacentral:rRNA from 1 species
UACGUAGGUGGCAAGCGUUGUCCGGAUUUAUUGGGUUUAAAGGGUGCGUAGGCGGUCCUAUAAGUCAGUGCUGAAAUAUCCCGGCUUAACCGGGAGGGUGGCAUUGAUACUGCAGGACUUGAGUGAAGUCGAGGUAGGCGGAAUUGACGGUGUCGCGGUGAAAUGCUUAGAUAUCGUCAAGAACACCGAUAGUGAAGACAGCUUACUAGACUUCAACUGACGCUGAGGCACGAAAGUGUGGGGAUCAAACAGG